rnacentral:rRNA from 1 species
AACUAACGCUGGCGGCGUGCCUAACACAUGCAAGUCGAACGAGAAAGUUGGCUUCGGCCGAUGAGUAAAGUGGCGCACGGGUGAGUAACGCGUGGAUAAUCUGCCCUUUAGUUUGGAAUAACGUACCGAAAGGUGCGCUAAUACCGGAUAAUACUGAAUGACUACUGUCGUUUAGUCAAAGAAGGCUUCUGUUUACAUGCUUUUGCUGAAGGAUGAGUCCGCGUACCAUUAGCUAGUUGGUAGGGUAAUGGCCUACCAAGGCGACGAUGGUUAGCUGGUCUGAGAGGAUGAUCAGCCACACUGGAACUGAGACACGGUCCAGACUCCUACGGGAGGCAGCAGUGAGGAAUAUUGCGCAAUGGGGGCAACCCUGACGCAGCAACGCCGCGUGAGUGAGGAAGGUUUUCGGACCGUAAAGCUCUGUCGAGCGGGAAGAAAUGCAUGGUGGCUAAUAUCCAUCAUGCUUGACGGUACCGCUAAAGG